ensembl:snoRNA ACEA small nucleolar RNA U3
AAGACUAUACUUUCAGGGAUCAUUUCUAUAGUUUCUGACUUGAGAAAUGUGUUUCCAAAUGCUCUGGUCUCGCUAUCCACGAUGAUGAAAUGUGAUAUUUCCCACUGGGCGUGAAGCGGGCACAGAGAAGUGAUUCAGUUCACAAGCUUUCUGCCAUCGAUGACCGUUCUUUACUUCCUAGUGGAGUAAGGAUGUGGGGAAUAUGGACAGAGUGGUU